rnacentral:rRNA from 1 species
UUGGAGGGCAAGUCUGGUGCCAGCAGCCGCGGUAAUUCCAGCUCCAAUAGCGUAUAUUAAAGUUGUUGCAGUUAAAAAGCUCGUAGUUGAAUUUCGGAAUAAGCAGGUCGGUCGUGCCACAGGUAUGUACUGGUCUUGCUGAUUCCUCCCUCUUGACGAGCCGUAAUGCCAUUAAUUUGGUGUUGCGGGGAAUCAGGACUGUUACUUUAGAAAAAAUUGAGUGUUUAAAGCAGGCUCACGCUUGAAUACAUUAGCAUGGAAUAAUGAAAUAGGACGUUCGAUCCUAUUUUGUUGGUUUCUAGGAUUGACGUAAUGAUUAAUAGGGAUAGUUGGGGGCAUUAGUAUUCAAUUGUCAGAGGUGAAAUUUCUUGGUAUUUUA